CGAGGUCUCUCGCUCGCUCUCUCUCUCGUCUCAUUCAUCCGCAGCAGGCGUCGAGGAUCUUCAGAGUGAAAUGCCGCGGUGCGAUGCGAGGAAAGGUCUGUGCUCUUCAUUAAUGAUGCAUGUGCCAUUUGAGGCGUUUAUGUCUCUUUCUCGUGUCACCUUGAGGGUCGGACCUGAAUAUCUACCCAACUAACAUUCCCUCAAAGUUACAGUGUGAACAAACGUUCCACCAGCAACAUUAACAGAGCGUUUGCUCAGUCAUCUGGUUUUUAAUAACGUUAUCAAAAUGUUAGCACAAAAAACGUUUAUAUAUUAUUCAUAGAAUGUUUAUCUUAGUUGGAUGUUUGCCUUUUUUUUUUUAAACAACUACCUAUAUGAGUGUGUGUGUGUGUGUUUGUGUGAGUGAUGUGUGUGUGUGUGUGUGUGUGUGUUCGCACUGGUGUGUGUGUGUGUGUGUGUGUGUGUGUGUGUGUGUGUGUGUGUGUUCACACUGUUGUGUGUUUUUGUGUGUGUGUGUGUGUGUGUGU
ensembl:lncRNA